rnacentral:lncRNA from 1 species
CACAGGCAGAGGGAGAAGCAGGCUCCAUGCAGGGAGCCUGAUGUGGAACUGGAUCCCUUUGAUUUCUUUGAUCCCAGGACUCCAGGAUCCCACCCUGGGCCGAAGGCAGCCGCUAAUGGCCAAGCCACCCAGGGAUCCCCUGGUCAUAACUUUCAAGUGGAACCUGACACACCUUGGGAGCCUUUGAAAUAUUUUCUCUAUGGUUUGGGAUAGAGACUUCUUUCCUAGUUUCUCUUUUUGUUUGAAAGAUUACAUUUAUUUAUUCACUAGAGACACACACACACAGAGGCAGAGACACAGGCAGAGGGAGAAGCAGGCUCCUUGCAGGAAGCCUGAUGUGAAACUUGAUCCCAGGACCUUGGGAUCACAACCUGACCCAAAGGCAGAUGCUCAACCACUGAGCCAGAGAGGCAUCCCUCUUUUCCAGUUUCACUGUGUCCAGAGGUGUGUCCAUCGGCAACUCUGGCCCCUUGGUUGUCUUCUAGGCCAUCACCAUCAGUCCCCAGAUUCCAGGUGUGUGAAGCUUUAAGUCACAGCCAUAGUUUCCGUUGGCUGCUCCAAUAUCCUGUGCCAGAUUCUACAUGAGCAGAUAAAUACCACAGUUCCCAUAUGUCUAUUGGGCAAGAAGCGCAACAAAUACAUCGCAAACAUUAUAGGCUUUGGAUCUUGUUCUGCUAUACAUUGUAUGGAACACAUAGACUAACUCCAUGCAGCAUUCAGAUGUUCCUCAGAUGUUUCAUGUGUAGGACUCAUUCUGGUUGUCAUUCUGUGCAUUCACAAGCCUAAAGGCCAACACCUUCAUAGGAACAGUAUCUCACCGAGAUCUUCUCUGAGAUGACAGUACCCCAAAGAUUCUUGUCCUUGAGAGUAUGUUUGUCAAUUUUUAUACCCCUGUCUGCCAUCAUUGUAAUUUUUCUUUUUCAUUAGAUCAUGUGGAGGGAAGUGAACAACACUGACCAAGCAGGUGUCCAGAUAUAAACAGAUAGAACCUGUUUCUUUCCGAGGCAUCUGGUCACGAGAAAACCAGAUGAAGGGACACCUGGGUGGCUGAGCGGUUGAGUGUCUGCCUUCAGCUCAGAUUGUGAUCCC